ACUCAAAGGAAUUGACGGGGGCCCGCACAAGCAGCGGAGCGUGUGGUUUAAUUCGACGCAACGCGCAGAACCUUACCCAGACUUGACAUGCAGCUGCAGGCGGCGGAAACGCCGCGGCCUUGGAGGGUGCUGCACAGAUGCUGCAUGGCUGUCGUCAGCUCGUGUCGUGAGAUGUUGGGUUAAGUCCCGCAACGAGCGCAACCCCCGCGGCCAGUUAUCGGUGUCUGGCCGGACGGCCCUUCGGGGAGGAAGGCGGGGAUGACGUCAAGUCCGCAUGGCUCUUACGUCUGGGGCGACACACACGCUACAAUGGCGCCGACAGCGCGCGGCGACCCGGCAACGGGGAGCGAAUCGCCAAACGGCGCCUCAGUGCAGAUCGGGGGCUGCAACUCGCCCCCGUGAAGGCGGAGUUGCUAGUAACCGCGUAUCAGCCACGGCGCGGUGAAUACGUACCCGGGCCUUGCACACACCGCCCGU
rnacentral:rRNA from 1 species